rnacentral:rRNA from 1 species
GUGGGGAAUUUUGGACAAUGGGCGCAAGCCUGAUCCAGCAAUGCCGCGUGCAGGAAGAAGGCCUUCGGGUUGUAAACUGCUUUUGUACGGAACGAAACGGUCCGGGUUAAUACCCUGGGCUAAUGACGGUACCGUAAGAAUAAGCACCGGCUAACUACGUGCCAGCAGCCGCGGUAAUACGUAGGGUGCAAGCGUUAAUCGGAAUUACUGGGCGUAAAGCGUGCGCAGGCGGUUUUGUAAGACAGGCGUGAAAUCCACGGGCUCAACCUGGGAAUUGCGCUUGUGACUGCAAGGCUGGAGUGCGGCAGAGGGGGAUGGAAUUCCGCGUGUAGCAGUGAAAUGCAUAGAUAUGCGGAGGAACACCGAUGGCGAAGGCAAUCCCCUGGGCCUGCACUGACGCUCAUGCACGAAAGCGUGGGGAGCAAACAGGAUUAGAUACCCGUGUAGUCC